rnacentral:rRNA from 1 species
CCUGGUUGAUCCUGCCAGUAGUCAUAUGCUUGUCUCAAAGAUUAAGCCAUGCAUGUCUAAGUAUAAGCGACUAUACUGUGAAACUGCGAAUGGCUCAUUAAAUCAGUUAUGGUUUAUUUGAUGGUACCUACUACUUGGAUAACCGUAGUAAUUCUAGAGCUAAUACAUGCAGGAAGACCCGACUUCGGAAGGGUUGUAUUUAUUAGAUAAGAAACCAAUCCAGCUUGCUGGUUGUGUGCCGAGUCACAAUAACUGCUCGAAUCGCAUGGCUUCACGCCGGCGAUGGUUCAUUCAAAUUUCUGCCCUAUCAGCUUUCGAUGGUAGGAUCGAGGCCUACCAUGGCGUUUACGGGUAACGGAGAAUUAGGGUUCGAUUCCGGAGAGGGAGCCUGAGAGAUGGCUACCACAUCCAAGGAAGGCAGCAGGCGCGUAAAUUGCCCGAAUCCUGACACAGGGAGGUAGUGACAAGAAAUAACAAUACAGGGCUUCUAAAGUCUUGUAAUUGGAAUGAGUACAAUUUACAUCUCUUCACGAGGAUCAAUUGGAGGGCAAGUCUGGUGCCAGCAGCCGCGGUAAUUCCAGCUCCAAUAGCGUAUAUUAAAGUUGUUGCAGUUAGAACGCUCGUAGUCGGAUUUCGGGGCGUUCCGACCGGUCUGCCGAUGGGUACGCACUGGUCGGCGCGUCCUUCCUUCCGGAGACCGUGCCUACUCUUAACUGAGCGGGGGCGGGAGACGGAUCGUUUACUUUGAAAAAAUCAGAGUGUUUCAAGCAGGCAGCUCGCUCUUGCAUGGAUUAGCAUGGGAUAAUGAAAUAGGACUUUGGUGCUAUUUUGUU